GGGGAUUUAGCUCAGUGGUUGAGCACUUGCCUAGCAAGCGCAAGGUCCUGGGUUCAGUCCCCA
rnacentral:tRNA from 1 species